rnacentral:pre_miRNA from 1 species
UACUCAGAAAGGUGCCAUUUAUGUAGAUUAUAUGUCACUGGCUCCUUUCUGGGUAGA